rnacentral:rRNA from 1 species
UACGUAGGGUGCAAGCGUUGUCCGGAAUUAUUGGGCGUAAAGAGCUCGUAGGCGGUCCGUCACGUCGGCUGUGAAAACCCGGGGCUCAACUCCGGGCCUGCAGUCGAUACGGGCGGACUAGAGUACUGCAGGGGAGACUGGAAUUCCUGGUGUAGCGGUGAAAUGCGCAGAUAUCAGGAGGAACACCGGUGGCGAAGGCGGGUCUCUGGGCAGUAACUGACGCUGGAGGAGCGAAA